rnacentral:rRNA from 1 species
GAUGAACGCUGGCGGCGUGCCUAAUACAUGCAAGUCGAGCGAACGGACGAGAAGCUUGCUUCUCUGAUGUUAGCGGCGGACGGGUGAGUAACACGUGGAUAACCUACCUAUAAGACUGGGAUAACUUCGGGAAACCGGAGCUAAUACCGGAUAAUAUUUUGAACCGCAUGGUUCAAAAGUGAAAGACGGUCUUGCUGUCACUUAUAGAUGGAUCCGCGCUGCAUUAGCUAGUUGGUAAGGUAACGGCUUACCAAGGCAACGAUGCAUAGCCGACCUGAGAGGCUGAUCGGCCACACUGGAACUGAGACACGGUCCAGACUCCUACGGGAGGCAGCAGUAGCGAAUCUUCCGCAAUGGGCGAAAGCCUGACGGAGCAACGCCGCGUGAGUGAUGAAGGUCUUCGGAUCGUAAAACUCUGUUAUUAGGGAAGAACAUAUGUGUAAGUAACUGUGCACAUCUUGACGGUACCUAAUCAGAAAGCCACGGCUAACUACGUG